UGGGAGAUGACAAGUCCAACGUGCCAAUGGU
rnacentral:piRNA from 1 species